rnacentral:rRNA from 1 species
AGCCGCCACGGUAAUACGUAGGGUGCGAGCGUUAAUCGGAAUUACUGGGCGUAAAGCGUGCGCAGGCGGUUGUGUAAGACAAGUGUGAAAUCCCCGGGCUUAACCUGGGAACUGCGCUUGUGACUGCACAGCUAGAGUAUGGCAGAGGGGGGUGGAAUUCCGCGUGUAGCAGUGAAAUGCGUAGAGAUGUGGAGGAACACCGAUGGCGAAGGCAGCCCCCUGGGCCAAUACUGACGCUCAUGCACGAAAGCGUGGGGAGCAAACAGGAUUAGAGACCCCUGUAGUCCCUGUCUCUUAUACA